GAGGUCUGGAAGGACAUGGUGCAGGGACAAAUAAGGGAAACCCUGUGUUAAAGAAGCAGUAAAUGGUGUAGGGGACGAACUAUUGCUCUGUGCCUGACCAGCCACGCCCAGACUUCCUGCCAAAAAAGAAGCUGGCUAUAAUAUCACAGAGACAGGUGAGCUUCACCCUGUGACGUCAACAGCAGCUCUGUCACCACAGGCAAAUCUAUCUACCAGGGACCAGGGACUCUGAACUCUCUCUCCCGACCCAGAGAUCAGAGCCUGGAACAGACAGACACCCCACUCCCGCUCUGGACCUGCCAUGGGCCCCAGGUUUCUCCCCGUAUGGUCCUUUGUCUUCUGAAACCAGGCCACACAGAACCUGGAGUCCUCUAGACCCUCCAUCACAGGCUCACAGAGGUGGGCCAGAAGGUGACUCUGAAGUGUGACUUCCCCCUCCUGGUCACAUAUUUGUGUACUGGUACCAGUAGAGUCAGGGACAGGCCAUGAAGUUUCUGAUUUCCUUUCAAUAUCAAAAAGCCAAGGUGGUGUCAGGGAUGCCCAGGGAGUGGAUCUUGGCCAAGAGGCCCAAAAGGCCCUUCUCCACACUGAGCAUACAGCCUGAGGAGCAUGGGGACUCAGCAGUAUGCCUGCAUGCCAGAGGCUGUGGGGGCACCACACAGUGUGGCCAAUCCCUCAGCCCAUGCACAAACCCUUGGCUUUCUCCCACUCCUGACUUUAAGAACACCUUCCAGCUUGGUCUUCCCGCCAUAGAAGCAAUACGAAGGUUGACUGUUGUGGUUCCAGCUGCUCCCAGUGGAGAGAAAGACCAUGAACGAUGUCUUCAAUCAUCACCAUGGGUGUGCUUUGGGGCACUGGCUUCUGAAACACCUAAAAAACCACACAGCAUCGGGCAGUCUGAAGAAGACAAGCUUAGAAGUAGAGGCUCCAAGAUAAAUCUUUAUAUACAUAUAUAUAUAUAUACACACACACACAUCCAUAUAUAUAUAGUGUACACAUAUAUGUAUUUAUAUAUUAUAUAUGCAUAAGAAACCUUUUGCCGUCAAGUCAAUUCUGACUCAUAGCAACCCUGUAGGAUGGAGUAGAACUGCCCCAUAGGGUUUCCAAGGAGUGGCUGGUGGAUUCGACUGUGGAUCUUUUGGUUAGCUGCUGAGGUCUUAAGCACUGCACCACUAGGGCUACAAUAUAUAUGUACAUAUGUGUGCAUAUACAUAUAUCUGUUUGGACAUGUUUUAUACAUAUAUUUAUACAUGUGUACGUGUGUAUGCAUACACCUAUAUGUAUAUAGAUAUUACCAAAGGACAUUGAAGAAAGGCCAGGAAACAACCAAGAGGAUGAAAUUGACAUAAAUAAACACCUAAAACUGGCCAGAGAGGAAGUGGCCAAUUGGACGUAAGACCCUGGUGUGAGGGCCCUCAUGGACCCAAGUGCAGCCACCAUGCUCUGCUCAGCAGCAGACAUGAGUGGUGCGUUGAUUUCCACAGCUGCUGCGGGUACCUGGGACCGAAUCCAGGGGUCCCUCUUACCCUGAAAAAGAUGACGGGAUCUAGAGGCACCCUGCAGGACCAGGGUGUCUGCGAGCUCCUAUGGGCAAAGCAUCACCAUAAAAAAAAAAAAAAUUUUUUUUUUUUUUUUACCUUAAGCAGAAGGUAAAACAGACCUGCCAGUCUGAGGAAGCUUCUUGGGAAGUGCGGAGGCACCGCCCCCAGGGCAGAGGAAAAUGCAGAGGCCCUGAGACCCAUGAGGAGGUGCACUGACUCCUGUCUCCUGGCCUCAGGCUCCUCAUCUGCAGAAUUAGGGAGCCUGCAUUGAGUGGCCUCAGGAUCCCUGCCGCUGUUCAUCUAGCCUUCUAAGGAUUUCGUAUAUUCACCUUGGGAGCCCCCAGAGUGUUCCCCUUCCCCUCUCUCCUCAAGUGCUGGGCACACAAGGAGACCCCUCCCCGCAAUGGCCAGCCAGGUCCUCUGCUUCGUGGCCCUUUGUCUCCUGGGAGCAGGCAUCGCAGAUUCUGGAAUCUCUCAGACCCAAAAUACCUGGUCUGAGAGAAAGGGCAGAACAUGUCCCUGAGCUGUGAACAGAGUUUCGAUGACUACUCCAUGGACUGGUACCAGCAGGACCCAGGGCAGGGGUGGAAGCUGGUCUACUACUCACCUGUGAUAAAUGACAUCCAGGAAGGAGGUGCAGCUGCAGUCCACAGUGCCUCUCGGCAGAAGAAGGAGCCCUUCCCUCUGGCGGUGACACGGGCCCAAAUGACCCACACAGCUCUGUACCUCUGUGCCAGCAGCAAGCCACACAGAAGCACGGCCACCCCCUCCCCGUGCAUAAACGUGUCCCAACCACAGGCCUGGGCAUUCUGUUUCCACACCCUGCCCUCCUCCUACAGCCCAGCCAGGCACACGAAGCUGCUGCAGCUAUAUAAAAAUGAACUAAAAGGAGGGCAUAUAAAAAUGAAAGCAAAAUGCUUUGGAGAAAACCCUCAGUCUCUUUGCAAUUGCUCUUCAUUUCCAGGAGUAAUCCUGCAGGUCAAGUAGUCCAGCACACGCAAAGCAGAGAGAAAUUCCCUAAAUUUCCUAGGACCCAUUUCCACAGGCCAAUACUCAACUAUGACGUCCACUACAGUAAAGUAACUCGAAUUAACUAUCCUCCAGUCUCCACGUUGCUUUACACAGAGACCUGCGAGCAAUGAUCAAUAAACACUUCCAGGAUCAGGCCCAUCAUUCUAUGAGGUGAAAUGUCAUGCCAUAGUCCUGAAGUAAAUGCCACAUGGAGUGAACAAAGGGGUGUCCUCAUCACCCAAAAUACCAAACCCACUACUGUGGAGUCAAUUCUGACUCAUAGCUACUCUAUAGGACAGAGGAGAACAGCCUCAUAGGGUUUUCUAGGCUGUAAUCUUGAUGGAAACAGACUGCCACAUCUUUCUCCUGUGGAGCGGCUGGUGGGUUCAAACUGCCUUUCAGUUAGCAGUCGAGUGCUUAACCACUGAGAAACCAGGCUCCUUUGUCCUCUUCACAGUCAUGAAGAAACACUGCACCUACAGCCUAGGAUUUCUUACGCUCACCAGUAGCUGUCAUGAUUAACCAUGAUUUGUCUUAGUCUGAUAACUGAAAACAUUGCACAGAAGAAAAAAACUGACAAUAACACCAUCCACUACACAGAUACCCCCUUUCCUUUUAUACGGCUAAGAAAGUUGCGUAGUUGUUGUUGUGAGCUGCCAUCCAGCCGAUUCCGACUCAUUACAACCCCGUGUGAAGGUGCAUAAGGCAUUUCAAAGCUCCAAGUCUCAGCUUAUCUCUUAUAAAAUUAGAGGCUGGGUUAGAAAGCCUGAGCCCCCUUUUGGGAAUGCCUGGUUCUCUGACCUUUGAGAAACGGAUGCAGGUUGCACCAUUGGUGAGCUCAUCCCAAGGGGGCAGAUCAGAGCGUUCCUCAGGAGAGCCCCCUAGGGGUGCAGAGAAGAACGCAGAGCAGGACCCAGUCUCUUGAGAGAAAGUGUGGUGAGAGGCCAGCCCUGGAGGAUGCUGGUGCUGCUUCUGCUCCUGGGGCCCGGCUCCAUGCUGGGUGCCCUUGUCUCUCAACACCCGAGCUGGGCCAUCUGCAAGAAUGGGACCUCAGUGGAGAUCAAGUGCCGCGUCACGGGCAUCCAGGCAACAACGAUGCUCUGGUAUCUCCAGCUUCCAGAGCAGGGCUUCACCCUGAUAGCAACUUCUGUCCAGGGCUCCGGUGUCACCCACGAGCAAGGCUUCACUGAGGCCAAGUUCCCCAUCAGCCACCCAAACCGCACGUUUUCAAAUCUGACGGUGACCAAUGCACAGGCUCAGGACAGCAGCCUCUACUUCUGUGGUGCCAGUAACACAGUGCCAGGCAGAGAUCAGGGACCUGAGCAAGAACCUCUGCCUGGACGCCCCCUUCUGUUCCCCAGGGGUCCGUGGGCCCUGUGGGAGGGGUGUGCAGGGUAGGAAACCACAGCUCCUUGAACUGAGACACCUGUGAGUGUGUGUGUGUGUAGACAGAGAUUGAGAGUGUGUGUGUGCGUAUGUGUAGAGAGGGAAUGUGUAUGUUCGUAUGUAUAUAUAGAGUGUCUGAGUGUGAAGUAUGGGGGCACCUUGUGUGAAACCCAGAAAAUGGACAUGGCGCUGGGUCUAUAAGUGACCACCGACAUGGAGACAUCCCUGGACUGAAAGUUAUAAAACCUGGAUGGUUGUCCUGACUCUGCCACAUGUUAAUCAUGGAAAACAUGAUUGGAAAAAUUCACUAUAGGUAGAAAAAAAAAAUGUAAUAAUAAAAUUCCUGAGAUUUUUGUGGUAAACGUGGACUUCAGCUUUCCUGGACUAUUCAACACCAUCUUCUCACCAUGUUGGGCCCUCAAGAUAAAGAGGGAUAAGUCAGCCAAACAAGAGCUUCACUCAUGAGAACAUGUCCAUGAUGAACUACAUAGUGCUUUGCUUGAUGAAUGAACAGGUAAGAAGAGGUACAGGGAAGGUGUUGGCUGAGCUAACUCUUGAGAGAGGUGACUAAGGAGAGAGAAGGCAGAGGAGCAUAUAAGGGAGACUUCCAACAACAUGGCUUGUCUAAGGACAUAGAGAGCUCUGUCAGAAGCCAGAUGCAGAGAAGUGAAGCAGUGAGUGUAAUCCCUUGCACAGAAACCUUUCCCUAGGGAAAACCAAAUAUUACAAUGACCACUGAUCUUGUAUGACCCAGAAGGAAGGUGAAAAAACAAACAAACAUGCACAUGCGUUUAAUAAAAGAAGAAACAUAUUUGACCAAUAAACAGAGGAAGAGAUAUUUAAUUUUAUUGGAGAUCAGGAAAAUUUGAAGCAAGACAUAAUGAUAUGGAAGCUUAGAUGCAUACGAUUAUUGUCUUAGU